UCCCAAGAACCUUCAAGGGAGAUGGCCCUGCUGACACCUUGAUUUUGGACUUCUAACCUCCAGAACUGUGAGAGAAUAAUUUCUGUUGUUUUAAGCCACCCAGUUUGUGUUAAUUUGUUAUGGCAGCCCUAGGA
rnacentral:miRNA from 1 species